UACUUAGUGGCAGACGGGUGAGUAACAUGUGGGUAUCUACCCUUUGGCCUGGAAUAACACGAGGAAACUUGUGCUAAUACCGGAUAAGUCUUUACGGAGAAAGCUUUAUGCACCAUUGGAUGAGCCCGCACUUGAUUAGUUUGUUGGUAGGGUAAUGGCCUACCAAGACUAUGAUCAAUAGCUGAUUUGAGAGGAUGAUCAGCCACAUUGGGACUGAGACACGGCCCAAACUCCUACGGGAGGCAGCAGUGGGGAAUCUUGCACAAUGGAGGAAACUCUGAUGCAGCGAUGCCGCGUGAGUGAAGAAGGCCUUUGGGUUGUAAAGCUCUUUCGUCGGGGAAGAAAAUGACUGUACCCGAAUAAGAAGGUCCGGCUAACUUCGUGCCAGCAGCCGCGGUAAUACGAAGGGACCUAGCGUAGUUCGGAAUUACUGGGCUUAAAGAGUUCGUAGGUGGUUGAAAAAGUUGGUGGUGAAAUCCCAGAGCUUAACUCUGGAACUGCCAUCAAAACUUUUCAGCUAGAGUAUGAUAGAGGAAAGCAGAAUUUCUAGUGUAGAGGUGAAAUUCGUAGAUAUUAGAAAGAAUACCAAUUGCGAAGGCAGCUUUCUGGAUCAUUACUGACACUGAGGAACGAAAGCAUGGGUAGCGAAGAGGAUUAGAUACCCUCGUAGUCCAUGCCGUAAACGAUGUGUGUUAGACGUUGGAAAUUUA
rnacentral:rRNA from 1 species